rnacentral:rRNA from 1 species
GUAGGUGGCAAGCGUUGUCCGGAAUUAUUGGGCGUAAAGCGCGCGCAGGCGGUUCUUUAAGUCUGAUGUGAAAGCCCACGGCUCAACUGUGGAGGGUCAUUGGAAACUGGAGAACUUGAGUACAGAAGAGGAAAGCGGAAUUCCACGUGUAGCGGUGAAAUGCGUAGAGAUGUGGAGGAACACCAGUGGCGAAGGCGGCUUUCUGGUCUGUAACUGACGCUGAGGCGCGAAAGCGUGGGGGAGCAAACAGGAUUAGAUACCCUGGUAGUCCACGCCGUAAACGAUGAGUGCUAAGUGUUAGGGGGUUUCCGCCCCUUAGUGCUGCAGCUAACGCAUUAAGCACUCCGCCUGGGAGUACGGCCGCAAGGCUG